rnacentral:tRNA from 1 species
GGGGCCGUAGCUCAGUUGGUUAGAGCGCUUCCCUGUCACGGAAGAGGCCGCGGGUUCGAGUCCCGUCGGCCCCGCCA